GGUGGUAGCUCAAUUGGUAGAGUGCUUGCCUGACUCGAAUGAGGCUCUGAGUUUGAUCCUCAUCACCACCA
rnacentral:tRNA from 1 species